UACGAAGGGGGCAAGCGUUGUUCGGAAUUACUGGGCGUAAAGGGCGCGUAGGCGGCUUAUCAAGUCAGGCGUGAAAUUCCCGGGCUCAACCUGGGGGCUGCGCUUGAUACUGAUUGGCUUGAAUGCGGGAGAGGAUAGUGGAAUUCCCAGUGUAGAGGUGAAAUUCGUAGAUAUUGGGAAGAACACCGGUGGCGAAGGCGGCUAUCUGGCCCGUAAUUGACGCUGAGGCG
rnacentral:rRNA from 1 species